UACGAGGGGGGCGAGCGUUGUUCGGAAUUAUUGGGCGUAAAGGGUGCGUAGGCGGCCUGACAAGUCUGAUGUGAAAUCCCUGGGCUCAACCCAGGGCCUGCAUCGGAAACUGUCGGGCUUGAGUAUGGGAGAGGUGAGUGGAAUUUCCGGUGUAGCGGUGAAAUGCGUAGAUAUCUGGAAGAACACCAAAGGCGAAGGCAGUGUCCUGGGUGGUCGCUGACGCUGAGAGGCGAAAGCCAGGGGAGCGAACGGG
rnacentral:rRNA from 1 species